UACGUAGGAUGCAAGCGUUGUCCGGAUUGACUGGGCGUAAAGCGUGUGCAGGCGGAUGACCAGGUAGAUUGUGAAAGCCCCGGCUUAACUGGGGAGGUCAGUCUAAACCGGUCGGUCUGGAAGCAGACAGAGGAGUAGGGAAUUCCGGUGUAGUGGUGAAAUGCGUAGAGAUGUGGAGGAACACGAUGGCGAAGGCAGCCCCUGGCUGAGAUUGACGCUCAGGCACGAAGCGUGGGAGCAAACAGG
rnacentral:rRNA from 1 species